CAGGGGUGCUAAGUAGUUAUGCCGCAGGUAAGUUUUCAUUAUUACCUGCACAUGACUACUUAAUAUGCCCG
rnacentral:pre_miRNA from 1 species